GAGGGGCAGCCCCAGCACCCCCACACUGAUGGGGCACUGCCUGGUUGGCCAAGGACAGUUGUGUCAGCAGCAAUAAGGGCAUGUCCCACCCACCAGGAGGGGUAUAAAACCAGGCUGGUUUAGGCAAAGCAGCAUUCCCUGACCCCAAGGGCAUCUGGAGCCAAGUGAUUCCUGUUGGAUUUGCUGCUGCCUGAACACCAAGACCUUCAUCAGCCCUGCGAAGACGUGGGAGUGGUGGAUCAGCCAUGAAGAUCCUGUACCUGCUCUUCCCCUUGCUCCUCCUGCUGGUCCAGGGUGCUGCAGGAGAUCCAACUGAAUGCAGACGGCGAGGGGGAUACUGCACUUUUCGGAAUUGCCCCUUCUCUACAGUACCAAUUGGAUUCUGCUCAAAAGAUACUCUCUGCUGCCUAAGCCCCCGGGGUUGAGACCCUGAAGUGUCCAAGCAGGACGUCCCCCUCGCUUCUGGCUCCUGGAACCAUCUCCCGAUGUCCUUUCCCCUCCCUGCCUCUGCCAUGCCCAGCUGCUGGCACAGCAGCAGCAGCAGCUGCUCCUGCUGGGUGCUGCUGGGCUGGAGACAUCUCAACCCAGCCGUGGGGUCUGUGGGGCAGAGGCUGCUUUUCCCGGCUUGAAUAAAG